rnacentral:rRNA from 1 species
AAUGAACGCUGGCGGCGCGCCUAAUACAUGCAAGUCGAGCGAGAAGACGUAGCAAUACGUUUGUAAAGCGGCGAACGGGUGAGGAAUACAUGGGUAACCUACCCUCGAGUGGGGAAUAACUAGCCGAAAGGUUAGCUAAUACCGCGUACGCUCCUUGGACUUCGGUUCAGGGAGGAAAGCGAUACCGUGGGUAUCGCGCUCUUGGAUGGGCUCAUGUCCUAUCAGCUUGUUGGGAGGUAACGGCUCACCAAGGCUUCGACGGGUAGCUGGUCUGAGAGGACGAUCAGCCACACUGGCACUGCGACACGGGCCAGACUCCUACGGGAGGCAGCAGUAAGGAAUAUUGCGCAAUGGGCGAAAGCCUGACGCAGCGACGCCGCGUGGGGGAGUGAAGGUAC